rnacentral:rRNA from 1 species
CCCCUAGAUGUUCUGGGCCGCACGCACGCUACACUGAACAGUUCAACAAGUCUUAACCUUGGCCGAUAGGUCUGGGUAAUCUUUGAACGCUGUUCGUGAUUGGGAUAGACCUUUGCAAUUAUGGGUCUUCAACGAGGAAUUCCUAGUAAACGCAAGUCAUCAGCUUGCAUUGAUUACGUCCCUGCCCUUUGUACACACCGCCCGUCGCACCUACCGAUUGAAUGGUCCGGUGAAAUCUCGGGACGGCGGCUUGGUCGCUUGCGUCCGACUGCUGAAACUUGAUUAAACCAUAUCAUUUAGAGGAAGGUGAAGUCGUAACA